rnacentral:rRNA from 1 species
AUUGAACGCUGGCGGCAGGCCUAACACAUGCAAGUCGAGCGGAUGAAGGGAGCUUGCUCCUGGAUUCAGCGGCGGACGGGUGAGUAAUGCCUAGGAAUCUGCCUGGUAGUGGGGGAUAACGUCCGGAAACGGGCGCUAAUACCGCAUACGUCCUGAGGGAGAAAGUGGGGGAUCUUCGGACCUCACGCUAUCAGAUGAGCCUAGGUCGGAUUAGCUAGUUGGUGGGGUAAAGGCCUACCAAGGCGACGAUCCGUAACUGGUCUGAGAGGAUGAUCAGUCACACUGGAACUGAGACACGGUCCAGACUCCUACGGGAGGCAGCAGUGGGGAAUAUUGGACAAUGGGCGAAAGCCUGAUCCAGCCAUGCCGCGUGUGUGAAGAAGGUCUUCGGAUUGUAAAGCACUUUAAGUUGGGAGGAAGGGCAGUAAGUUAAUACCUUGCUGUUUUGACGUUACCAACAGAAUAGCAC